rnacentral:rRNA from 1 species
CCUACGGGCGGCAGCAGUGAGGAAUAUUGGUCAAUGGUCGCGAGACUGAACCAGCCAAGUAGCGUGAAGGAUGACUGCACUACGUAUUGUAAACUUCUUUUAUAAGGGAAUAAAGUCAGGCACGUGUGCCUUUUUGAAUGUACUUGAAGAAUAAGGAUCGGCUAACUCCGUGCCAGCAGCCGCGGUAAUACGGAGGAUCCGAGCGUUAUCCGGAUUUAUUGGGUUUAAAGGUAGCGUAGAUGGGUUGUUAAGUCAGUUGUGAAAGUUUGGGGCUCAACCCUAAAAUUGCAAUUGAUACUGGCAGUCUUGAGUACAGUUGAGGUAGGCGGAAUUCGUGGUGUAGCGGUGAAAUGCUUAGAUAUCACGAAGAACUCCGAUUGCGAAGGCAGCUUACUAA